GCCCUCGAACAGGGGAGCUGGCGCACGCCGGCUGAGAGGGGGUCCCACGCGGCCCCGACCCUUAUACCUGAUCUGGGUAAUGCCAGCGUAGGGACUAUGGCCACAACGGCG
rnacentral:ncRNA from 2 species